rnacentral:rRNA from 1 species
GAUGAACGCUAGCUACAGGCUUAACACAUGCAAGUCGAGGGGAAACGAUAUUGGAAGCUUGCUUCCGAUAGGCGUCGACCGGCGCACGGGUGAGUAACGCGUAUCCAACCUGCCCAUCACUUGGGAAUAACCUUGCGAAAGUAAGACUAAUGCCCAAUGACAUUUAUAGAAGGCAUCCGAAAUGAAUUAAAGAUUUAUCGGUGAUGGAUGGGGAUGCGUCUGAUUAGCUUGUUGGCGGGGUAAAGGCCCACCGGGGCGACGAUCGGUAGGGGUUCUGAGAGGAAGGUCCCCCCACAUUGGAACUGAGACACGGUCCAAACUCCUACGGGAGGCAGCAGUGAGGAAUAUUGGUCAAUGGGCGAGAGCCUGAACCAGCCAAGUAGCGUGCAGGACGACGGCCCUAUGGGUUGUAAACUGCUUUUAUAAGGGAUAAAGUGAGUCUCGUGAGACUUUUUGCAUGUACCUUAUGAAUAAGGACCGGCUAAUUCCGUGCCAGCAGCCG